AAGCGACCGAGGGACUGGGAGUCGUUAGUGAGAGUUUCACUCUUGUUGCCUAGGCUGGAGUGCAAUGGUGCGAUCUUGGCUCAUCACGACCUUCGCCUCCCAGGUUCAAGUGAUUGUCCCAUUUCAGCCUCCCGAGUAGCUGGGAUUACAGGGCGGUACCGGCUUCGCGGGCUCCGGAGUGAAGCUGCAAGCGGAGAAAUCACGGCCGGUGAUGCAGGCCUGAGUGUGUGCGGGAGACCAAAUAAACCGGCUUGGGUGCGC
rnacentral:lncRNA from 1 species